rnacentral:SRP_RNA from 1 species
GCCGGGUGCGGUGGCGCGUGCCUGUAGUCCCAGCUACUCGGGAGGCUGAGGUUGGAGGAUCGCUUGAGCCCAGGAGUUCUGGGCUGUAGUGCGCUAUGCCGAUCAGGUGUCUGCACUAAGUUCGGCAUCAAUAUGGUGACCUCCCGGGAGCGGGGAACCACCAGGUUGCCUAAGGAGGGGUGACCCGGCCCAGGUCAGAAACAGAGCAGGUCAAAACUCCCGUGCUGAUCAGUAGUGGGAUCGCGCCUGUGAAUAGCCACUGCACUCCAGCCGGGGCAACAUAGUGAGACCCCAUCUCCU